UGCAAGUCGAACGGAUUAAAGAGCUUGCUCUUUAGUUAGUGGCGAACGGGUGAGUAAUWUAUCGGAACAUAUCCGGAAGUGGGGGAUAACGUAGCGAAAGUUACGCUAAUACCGCMWAWKSCCYKRAGGGGGAAAGGGGGGGAUCGCAAGACCUCUCGCUUUCGGAGUGGCCGAUAUCGGAUUAGCUAGUAGGUGAGGUAAAGGCUCACCUAGGCGACGAUCCGUAGCUGGUCUGAGAGGACGACCAGCCACACUGGAACUGAGACACGGUCCAGACUCCUACGGGAGGCAGCAGUGGGGAAUUUUGGACAAUGGGCGAAAGCCUGAUCCAGCCAUACCGCGUGAGUGAAGAAGGCCUUCGGGUUGUAAAGCUCUUUCAGCCGGAAAGAAAUCGCACUUCUUAAUACGAAGUGUGGAUGACGGUACCGGAAGAAGAAGCACCGGCUAACUACGUGCCAGCAGCCGCGGUAAUACGUAGGGUGCGAGCGUUAAUCGGAAUUACUGGGCGUAAAGCGUGCGCAGGCGGUUUUGUAAGCCAGAUGUGAAAUCCCCGGGCUUAACCUGGGAACUGCAUUUGGAACUGUAAGACUAGAGUAUAGCAGAGGGGGGGUAGAAUUCCACGUGUAGCAGUGAAAUGCGUAKAUAUGUGGAGGAAUACCARUGGCGAASGCAGCCCCCUGGGUUAAUACUGACGCUCAUGCACGAAAGCGUGGGGAGCAMACAGGAUUAGAUACCCUGGUAGUCCA
rnacentral:rRNA from 1 species